rnacentral:rRNA from 1 species
CCUACGGUAGGCAGCAGUGAGGAAUAUUGGUCAAUGGGCGGAAGCCUGAACCAGCCAAGUAGCGUGCGGGAUGAAGGCCCUACGGGUCGUAAACCGCUUUUGCACGGGGAUAACACCCUCCACGUGUGGAGGUCUGCAGGUACCGUGCGAAUAAGGGCCGGCUAAUUCCGUGCCAGCAGCCGCGGUAAUACGGAAGGCCCGAGCGUUAUCCGGAUUCAUUGGGUUUAAAGGGAGCGUAGGCGGGCGUUAAAGUCAGCUGUAAAAUCGCGCGGCUCAACCGCGCCCCGCAGUUGAAACUGGGCGCCUUGAGUUCACAAGAGGCAGGCGGAAUUCGUGGUGUAGCGGUGAAAUGCAUAGAUAUCACGAGGAACCCCGAUUGCGAAGGCAGCCUGCCGGGGUGCGACUGACGCUGAGGCUCGAAGGUGCGGGUAUCAAACAGGAUUAGAUACCCCAGUAGUC